GCGCUGGUGGUGUAAGGCGAACAUCGCUGCCAGGAAAGCAGAAGAUGCGGGUUCGAGUCCCGCCUGGCGCA
rfam:Heligmosomoides polygyrus genome assembly, scaffold: HPBE_scaffold0000001